CCGGGUAGCUAUCACUCUGCGGCUUACUUGAGCCACAGCUGGUAAUUGGCAUUUCUACUGCGGCUUCUUCAACAUCCAACUCUAACUUUGAUGAAGUCUGCAAAUCUUCAUUGGAUUGUAGCUUUUCUGUAUUGGCAGAAUCUUUAGGUAGUGACGAAACCCUGGCCACCAUCUGCUGUCCUCGCCACCAUCUGCUGUCCUCGCCACCGUAGUCACUCUCUGUCCGCCAUUGUCAACAGCACGAUGUCACCAAGUCAUCAAACCAUCACACUCAGCCACCAUUUUCGAGACCACCACCAUCAAACUUCUUCAGCCUCCCUGCAAUAAAAGCAAGAUUACACAUCUAGGCAAAGAAAGUAACUGUAGCCAAGCAAGAUAAGGAAAAACAGAUAAACAAACAAUGAAGUUUCAGUGCAGUUAAGGGCUUAGCAAAAGCAUAUGAGAGAAGGUCGAACCUGAAAUGCAACCAUUUGAUUUUCUCCACAGACUUCUUGACAAAGGCUCAAAGUCUCAACCUCUGCAGCCAAUUCAAAAGAAGCACAAUCUGAGUCUUCAAAGACACCAUCAAUCUGUGCCUUUCUUAGGGAGCUGCAGCUACUUGAAUUUUCUGUGUUGGCUUCCAUAAUAAUUACGGUCAAUUUUGGUGAAGCCUGGACAACAUCUGUGAGCUGUAGAUCUUCUGUCUCAGUGGAAUCUCGUUGGAGUUGAAGCGAUGAAGUCUCCUUUGCAGCUAGAUAUGGAUCAUCCUCCCUAUUAAGGACUGAAGACUCUAUCAUCUCUGGCAUCACAUCCAGAAGCAGACAACCGUCUCCUCUGACAUCCCAUUCAUCAGCCUCUGCAGGAACUUCAGGUUCAUAACAAGCUAAGGCCUCCGGGCAGCUACCACUCUGCGGCUUACUUGAGGCGCAGCUGCUAAUUGGCAUUUCUGCUGCGGCUUCUUCAACAUCCAACUCCCACCUUGAUGAAGUCUGCAAAUCUUCACUGGAUUGUAGCUUUUCUGUAUUGACAGAAUCUCUAGGUAUUGACGAAACGCUUGGAGGUGCAACUGGCAACAAAACUUCCCUUGUUGUAUCCUCAUCAUCCUCACUAGGGACUACUGAUGAACCACUUCCUUCAGAUGUCACAU
rnacentral:lncRNA from 1 species